UGGGGAAUUUUGGACAAUGGGCGCAAGCCUGAUCCAGCCAUGCCGCGUGCGGGAAGAAGGCCUUCGGGUUGUAAACCGCUUUUGUCAGGGAAGAAAUCUUCUGAGUUAAUACCUCGGGAGGAUGACGGUACCUGAAGAAUAAGCACCGGCUAACUACGUGCCAGCAGCCGCGGUAAUACGUAGGGUGCAAGCGUUAAUCGGAAUUACUGGGCGUAAAGCGUGCGCAGGCGGUUUUGUAAGACAGAGGUGAAAUCCCCGGGCUCAACCUGGGAACUGCCUUUGUGACUGCAAGGCUUGAGUGCGGCAGAGGGGGAUGGAAUUCCGCGUGUAGCAGUGAAAUGCGUAGAUAUGCAGAGGAACACCGAUGGCGAAGGCAAUCCCCUGGGCCUGCACUGACGCUCAUGCACGAAAGCGUGGGGAGCAAACAGGAUUAGAUACCCUGGUAGUCCACGCCCUAAACGAUGUCAACUGGUUGUUGGGAAGGUUCCUUCUCAGUAACGUAGCUAACGCGUGAAGUUGACCGCCUGGGGAGUACGGCCGCAAGGUUGAAACUCAAAUGAAUUGACGGGGU
rnacentral:rRNA from 1 species